rnacentral:rRNA from 1 species
UACGGGGGGGGCAAGCGUUGCUCGGAAUUACUGGGCGUAAAGAGCUCGUAGGCGGCUUGUCGCGUCGGCUGUGAAAACCUGGGGCUCAACCCCGGGCCUGCAGCCGAUACGGGCAAGCUAGAAUUCGGUAGGGGAGACUGGAAUUCCUGGUGUAGCGGUGAAAUGCGCAGAUAUCGGGAGGAACACCAGUGGCGAAGGCGGUUGCCUGGGGCUUUGCUGACGCUGAUGCGCGAAAGCGUGGGGAGCGAUCCGG